rnacentral:misc_RNA from 1 species
GUAUUGUAUUGCGUUAAACGCUGCAAACAUUCCAUGAGACUUUACGGUGGUGUGUGUGUAAAUAUGUAGAACUGCAGCGAGGGGACAAAGUCGCCCACGCCGUAGAACUACGGAGGGUGCACAGGUGUGGGUGGAUGUGUAAACAGAGUGUGCACAUGCCCCCGGUUUGGAGACCAGCAACAACCCAUGUUGACAAUUCGGUAAUGAUCCUUCCGCAGGUUCACCUACGGAAA